CGGUGAGGGGCAAGUAGGCAGGGCAGCCAGCUCGCUCGCGCACGCUGAUCGGUGAGGGGCAAGCAGGCAGGGCAGCCAGUGAGCGAGAGAGCCCUGCCUACUUGCCUCUUACCGA
rnacentral:pre_miRNA from 1 species